rnacentral:rRNA from 1 species
CGACCGGCGCACGGGUGAGUAACGCGUAUGCAACCUACCUAUCAGAGAGGGAUAACCCGUUGAAAGACGGGCUAAUACCACAUAAAACAGGGGUUCCGCAUGGGAAUAUUUGUUAAAGAAAUUCGCUGAUAGAUGGGCAUGCGUUCCAUUAGAUAGUUGGUGAGGUAACGGCUCACCAAGUCGACGAUGGAUAGGGGAACUGAGAGGUUGAUCCCCCACAUUGGUACUGAGACACGGACCAA